ACUUGAAGACAUCACCCGUUGAGAUGAGGUGCAUCGUGCUACUGCGCAUGGAGAUGAUGUAGCUCGCUCGACGUGCAACUGCGCAUGCACAUUUUAAGAAUUCACGUAAGUUUUGUCUUUGCUUGAAAAUACAGUAGUAAGUGUCUUUAAUUUAAAAAUGUAACGGUUUGCAUGCACACACUGCCUUUAAAGCGGAAUUUUGCCGUUAGAUGACUUUAGCAACGUGAAGAUGUCGAAAUUUGUUUGGAUGAAAACUACGUACUGGCAUCGUGGUUCCAACUCAUGUAGGCACAUAAAACGAUUAUACAAGUUUAU